AAAAACAAAAGCAAGCAUUAAUGCAUACUGUUACUUUUAAUCUCUUUUCUUCUGGAUAAAAUCAAGGUGCUUGAAGAAAGCAAGGAAUUUCUGGAUGAUACGGCCAGAACUCUUGGUGAUAUGUUAGAAUGUGAGCGGAAACGCAACAUGAAAAAUCAGGAUUUGGUCCUGGAAAAUGAGAAAUCUGUGGAGAAGCUAAAGGAGGUUAUUUCAAUGAAUGCCUCAGAAUUUUCCAAGGUAAGGCUGCCCACACUCCCUGCCGGUGUCAGUGUCGAGACUCAGCUGCAUGGAGCAGUGGUGACCUGAUGAGUGCUGAGAGCCAUGGAAGGCAGAGGCCGUGCAUGAUUGAGGGGCAGGGCUGGGGCCCCCUCCCUGGUGCGGCUCGUGAACAGUCGUGUUGUGCGUUAGCUUCAGGUCGCCCUGAAUGAAGGCAAGUUGAGUGAGGAGAAAGUGAAGUCUGAGUGCC
rnacentral:lncRNA from 1 species